GAUGAACGCUGGCGGCAUGCCUAAUACAUGCAAGUCGAACGAGAGGAAGGAAAGCUUGCUUUCCUGAAUCUAGUGGCGAACGGGUGAGUAACACGUAGGUAACCUGCCCAUGUGCCCGGGAUAACUUCUGGAAACGGAUGCUAAAACCGGAUAGGUAGCAGACAAGCAUUUGACUGCUAUUAAAGUGGCCUUGGCUAUGAACAUGGAUGGACCUGCGGUGCAUUAGCUAGUUGGUGAGGUAACGGCCCACCAGGGCGACGAUGCAUAGCCGGCCUGAGAGGGCGGACGGCCACAUUGGGACUGAGACACGGCCCAAACUCCUACGGGAGGCAGCAGUAGGGAAUUUUCGUCAAUGGGGGGAACCCUGAACGAGCAAUGCCGCGUGAGUGAGGAAGGUCUUCGGAUCGUAAAGCUCUGUUGUAAGAGAAAAACGGCACUCAUAGGGAAUGAUGAGUGAGUGAUGGUAUCUUACCAGAAAGUCACGGCUAACUACGUGCCAGCAGCCGCCGUAA
rnacentral:rRNA from 1 species